AGUAAUACGUGAGUGACCUACCUUUGACUCUGGGAUAAGCCUGGGAAACUGGGUCUAAUACCGGAUACGACCAAUCUCUGCAUGGGGUGUUGGUGGAAAGCGUUAUGGAGUGGUUUUAGAUGGGCUCACGGCCUAUCAGCUUGUUGGUGAGGUAAUGGCUUACCAAGGCGAMSAMSGGKWRSCSGSCYKGAGAGGGUGACCGGCCACACUGGGACUGAGACACGGCCCAGACUCCUACGGGAGGCAGCAGUGGGGAAUAUUGCACAAUGGGCGCAAGCCUGAUGCAGCGACGCCGCGUGAGGGAUGACGGCCUUCGGGUUGUAAACCUCUGUUAGCAUCGAAGAAGCGAAAGUGACGGUAGGUGCAGAGAAAGCGCCGGCUAACUACGUGCCAGCAGCCGCGGUAAUACGUAGGGCGCGAGCGUUGUCCGGAAUUAUUGGGCGUAAAGAGCUUGUAGGCGGUUGGUCGCGUCUGCUGUGAAAGGCCGGGGCUUAACUCCGGUUUUGCAGUGGGUACGGGCUAACUAGAGUGCAGUAGGGGAGACUGGAAUUCCUGGUGUAGCGGUGGAAUGCACAGAUAUCAGGAGGAACACCGAUGGCGAAGGCAGGUCUCUGGGCUGUAACUGACGCUGAGAAGCGAAAGCAUGGGGAGCGAACAGGAUUAGAUACCCUGGUAGUCCAUGCCGUAAACGUUGGGCACUAGUGUGGGGGACAUUCCACGUUUUCCGCGCCGUAGCUAACGCAUUAAGUGCCCCGCCUGGGGAGUACGGCCGCAAGGCUAAAACUCAAAGGAAUUGACGGGGGCCCGCACAAGCGGCGGAGCAUGCGGAUUAAUUCGAUGCAACGGAAGAACCUUACCAAGGCUUGACAUGCAUUAGAUCGCGUCAGAGAUGGCGUUUCCCUUCGGGGCUGGUGUACAGGUGGUGCAUGGUUGUCGUCAGCUCGUGUCGUGAGAUGUUGGGUUAAGUCCCGCAACGAGCGCAACCCUCGUUCUAUGUUGCCAGCGGUUCGGCCGGGGACUCAUAGGAGACUGCCGGGGUCAACUCGGAGGAAGGUGGGGAUGACGUCAAAUCAUCAUGCCCCUUAUGUCUUGGGCUUCACGCAUGCUACAAUGGCCGGUACAGAGGGUUGCGAUACUGUGAGGUGGAGCUAAUCCCUUAAAGCCGGUCUCAGUUCGGAUUGGGGUCUGCAACUCGACCCCAUGAAGUCGGAGUCGCUAGUAAUCGCAGAUCAGCAACGCUGCGGUGAAUACGUUCCCGGGCCUUGUACACACCGCCCGUCAAGUCACGAAAGUUGGUAACACCCGAAGCCGGUUGGCC
rnacentral:rRNA from 1 species